rnacentral:rRNA from 1 species
UACGGAGGGUGCGAGCGUUAAUCGGAAUUACUGGGCGUAAAGCGCGCGUAGGCGGUUUUGUAAGUCGGAUGUGAAAGCCCCGGGCUUAACCUGGGAAUUGCAUUCGAUACUGCGUGACUAGAGUAUGGUAGAGGGAAGCGGAAUUCCGGGUGUAGCGGUGAAAUGCGUAGAUAUCCGGAGGAACACCAGUGGCGAAGGCGGCUUCCUGGGCCGUAACUGACGCUGAGGAGCGAAAGCAUGGGGAGCGAACAGG